UACGUAGGGGGCAAGCGUUGUCCGGAUUUAUUGGGCGUAAAGAGCGUGUAGGCGGCCAGACAAGUCUGCUGUGAAAACUCGAGGCUCAACCUCGAGACGUCGGCGGAAACCAUCUGGCUAGAGUCCGGAAGAGGAGAGUGGAAUUCCUGGUGUAGCGGUGAAAUGCGCAGAUAUCAGGAAGAACACCCGUGGCGAAAGCGGCUCUCUGGAACGGUACUGACGCUGAGACGCGAAAGCGUGGGGAGCGAACAGG
rnacentral:rRNA from 1 species